UACGGAGGGGGUUAGCGUUGUUCGGAAUGACUGGGCGUAAAGCGCGCGUAGGCGGAUCAGGAAGUUGGGGGUGAAAUCCCGGGGCUCAACCCCGGAAUGGCCUUCAAAACUCCUGGUCCUGAGUUCGAGAGAGGUGAGUGGAAUUCCGAGUGUAGAGGUGAAAUUCGUAGAUAUUCGGAGGAACACCAGUGGCGAAGGCGGCUCACUGGCUCGACACUGACGCUGAGGUGCGAAAGCGUGGGGAGCAAACAGGA
rnacentral:rRNA from 1 species